rfam:Nippostrongylus brasiliensis genome assembly, scaffold: NBR_scaffold0000921
GAAACGGUAGCACAGUGGUUAGUGUAGUCUGCCGGAAACAGAACGACGCAGGUUCAAUUCCCGUCCGAUGUCA